rnacentral:rRNA from 1 species
GACGAACGCUGGCGGCGUGCCUAAUACAUGCAAGUGGGACGCAAGGAAACACACUGUGCUUGCACACCGUGUUUUCUUGAGUCGCGAACGGGUGAGUAACGCGUAGGUAACCUGCCUAUUAGCGGGGGAUAACUAUUGGAAACGAUAGCUAAUACCGCAUAAUAUUAAUUAUUGCAUGAUAAUUGAUUGAAAGAUGCAAGCGCAUCACUAGUAGAUGGACCUGCGUUGUAUUAGCUAGUUGGUAAGGUAAGAGCUUACCAAGGCGACGAUACAUAGCCGACCUGAGAGGGUGAUCGGCCACACUGGGACUGAGACACGGCCCAGACUCCUACGGGAGGCAGCAGUAGGGAAUCCUCGGCAAUGGACGAAAGUCUGACCGAGCAACGCCGCGUGAGUGAAGAAGGUUUUCGGAUCGUAAAGCUCUGUUGUAAGUCAAGAACGUGUGUGAGAGUGGAAAGUUCACACAGUGACGGUAGCUUACCAGAAAGGGACGGCUAACUACGUG